rnacentral:other from 1 species
CACAAGCUGCGUUGUGCGUAAUGAAUAAUUAAGUUUUAACCUUUAAGCUAGAAUAGGGAGUUUAACAUCGAAACGUAAAUGACAAGUCUCUGUCUAUAUGACAAGGAGAACAUGCAGAAACGUUUUUGCGAACACCCACUUUUUGAAGUGGUGGUUUAAAACUUUCUUAUGUGAAUACGGCAAAGGUGGCUUCUCU